rnacentral:rRNA from 1 species
GUGUCAGCAGCCGCGGUAAGACAGAGGGUGCAAACGUUGUUCGGAAUUACUGGGCGUAAAGCGUGUGUAGGCGGCUACAUAAGUCGGAUGUGAAAGCCCCGGGCUCAACCCGGGAAGUGCACUCGAUACUGCGUAGCUUGAGUCUCGGAGAGGUUGGUGGAAUUCUCGGUGUAGAGGUGAAAUUCGUAGAUAUCGAGAGGAACACCGGUGGCGAAGGCGGCCAACUGGACGAAGACUGACGCUGAGACACGAAAGCGUGGGGAGCAAACAGGAUUAGAUACCCUGGUAGUCC